GAUGAACGCUGGCGGCGUGCCUAAUACAUGCAAGUCGAGCGAACGGACGAGAAGCUUGCUUCUCUGAUGUUAGCGGCGGACGGGUGAGUAACACGUGGAUAACCUACCUAUAAGACUGGGAUAACUUCGGGAAACCGGAGCUAAUACCGGAUGAUAUUUUGAACCGCAUGGUUCAAAAGUGAAAGACGGUCUUGCUGUCACUUAUAGAUGGAUCCGCGCUGCAUUAGCUAGUUGGUAAGGUAACGGCUUACCAAGGCAACGAUGCAUAGCCGACCUGAGAGGGUGAUCGGCCACACUGGAAGUGAGACACGGUCCAGACUCCUAAGGGAGGCAGCAGUAGGGAAUCUUCCGCAAUGGGCGAAAGCCUGACGGAGCAACGCCGCGUGAGUGAUGAAGGUCUUCGGAUCGUAAAACUCUGUUAUUAGGGAAGAACAUAUGUGUAAGUAACUGUGCACAUCUUGACGGUACCUAAUCAGAAAGCCACGGCUAACUACGUG
rnacentral:rRNA from 1 species